GCCCACCCCCAGGCCAGGCUCCUCUGACUUGGGAAGCCAAAACCACGCAUCAGAAUCAAAGGAAUCCGUUUCUGCCUCAGGGAGCAUGAAUGCCAGGGCCUGGGGCUGGGGGACCACCUGACCCCAAAUCCAGGGCAGGCGCUGAGUCCCCCUGGGCUGCCAGUGACCCUCCCCUGCCUGUAUCCCCUCCCACCAGGGGAGGCCCCUGGGAGCCGCAGGCCUCACCCCGCCCCUGGUGCUGCCUUGCCAGGCUUUUGAGAAUCCUUUGAAGAGAAGCAGCCCAGGGGCUCAGGCUGCAGAGCUCUGCCUCCACCCCAGGGAAGCCCUGAGCAGGGGAUGGGGACACAGCUGCGCUGAGCAGCCCAGGUCUGUGUUGCAACCUCUCUGGGCUCAGUGUACAUCAGUAUGCAAGGAUGAUCGCCAGGGAUGUGGGCAGUGAUGAAAGACGGGGGCCAGUAAGCCAGAGGGGAGUCCCUUCCUAGGUGACAGACCCGACAGACCUGGGGCAGCUCCAGAUCCUCCCAGGCUAGUGCAGGGCAGGGCCACUCAGGAGUGGAAGGAGGCUGACCUGGAGUCAGGCAAUGCCUUUACCAGCUGUGUGACCUCAGGCAAGUAGCCUGGCCUCACUGGACCUCAGUGACCUUGUCUGCAAACUGGAACAAUGAUGCUGAUGUCACAGAGCUAUAGUGAGGAGUCAGUGGGACAACAACGGAUUUAAAAAAAAAAAAAAAAAAUCACCCAGCACAGCCCUAGCGCGCGGUCGGCCUUCCAGCGCCUUCCCCGGCGUGGAAUGCGGCAGAGAGGAGGC
rnacentral:lncRNA from 1 species